GAUGAACGCUGGCGGCGUGCCUAAUACAUGCAAGUCGAGCGAACGGACGAGAAGCUUGCUUCUCUGUUGUUAGCGGCGGACGGGUGAGUAACACGAGGCUAACCUACCUAUACGACUGGGAUAACUUCGGGAAACCGGCGCUAAUACCGCAUAAUACUUUGAUCCGCAUGGUUCAAAAGUGAAAGACGGUCUUGCUGUCACAUAUAGAUGGAUCCGCGCUGCAUUAGCUAGUUGGUAAGGUAACGGCUUACCAAGGCAACGAUGCAUAGCCGACCUGAGAGGGUGAUCGGCCACACGGGAACUGAGACACGGUCCAGACUACUACGGGAGGCAGCAGUAGGGAAUCGUCAGCAAUGCGCGAAAGCCUGACGGUGCAACGGCGCGUGAGGGAGGAAGGUCUCCGGAUCGUAAAACUCUGUUAGUAGGGAAGAACAUAUGUGUAAGUAACUGUGCACAUCUUGACGGUACCUAAUCAGAAAGCCACGGCUAACUACGUG
rnacentral:rRNA from 1 species